rnacentral:lncRNA from 1 species
AGGAAAGCAAACAUAGUUCACAAAUAAUUUAAUAUAAGGAUUUAUUUAAGUUGGUAUAGGAGAACUGAAGAAACAAAGAGGAAACACUGAGGUGGCAUGGAGAUAUAACUGCAGGAAACAGCUGCCAUUCCCAAGGCUGAGGAACAGAGAAAAGAGGUAGAAGCUCAGAAGAGGCGACCUGCACAGCCGGGUUGACAGGAGCACAUUUGAUAGUAAAAGGUGUGUUGGAGUCCUCACCCCCAGUACCUCAGAAUAUGAGCUGAUUUGGAGACAGCGUCUUCACUAUAAAGGUGAUCAAGUUACAAUGUGGUCAUUAGGAGCCUACUGCAAUACAACUGGUGUCUUUAUGAAAAGGAGAAAUUUGGAGACAGACACACUAAAGCACACAGGGAAAAUGUCAUUGGGACACAAGGCAUAGCUCAGGGUGGUGCUUCUACAGCCAAGGAAUGCCAAAGAUUUCCAAGAAGCCACCAGAAGCAAGGGGAGAGUCAUGGAACAGAUUCUGUCUCACAGCCUCAGGAGUAACCAAGCCUGCCGAGGAGUUGAUCUUAGACUUCUAGCCUUUAGAACUGUGAGACAAUACAUUUCUGUUGUUUAAAUCACCUAAUCUGUGGUACUUUGUUGCAGCAACCCUAACAGAACAAUAAAAUAAGUAUAUAUAAUUAAUUAUAAAUUAUAACUGUGCUUAAAAUUAGCUCAUAAAAUUCCUGAAAUUCUGUUGAGCUGGUACAUGCUUGCUGUAAUCUACCAUUGCAAGGGUCAUGAUGAGGCGAGUUCUAUGAGCAUGGAAACAAGUGGAAACUAGAACGAACUGCCCCUUGCAGAAUGGAGAACCCUGGCUGGGGGUGACACUGACAGGAACAGGAAGUGCACAGGAAGGAUCAAGUCAUACUUUCUCCUCUAGCCGCCCAGCCUCUCUCCAGCACUUCCUAUUCCUGGGCUAACAGAGAUCCAGUUGGCAAAGUACAAAGUUGGUUUCCAGAGAUCUGAGAAGAGAAUAAAAGCGUAGGUGUGAAGCUGAGAGACAAUAUCUUAAUAUCCAAACACACUGGGUUUUUAGACAACUCUUCUAGGGACGUUUCAGUCUCUUUUUUCAGGUAUCAUUGGGUUUCCUUUGGACCACAAAGCUGUUUAGCCAAGGAAGCAGAUAUUUCUGGCUACUUAUAUUUUGUGACUUAUUUUGAGAGUUUUAUCUUUUUUUUUUAUAAAGCAUAAUGUUAUAAUAAGUGUGCUGCAUGUCACUUGUGCUCUAUUCCCAAGAGUGGAUUGACUGUAUUCUCUGAAGAUGAUUUCUUGAUUUGAUAAUAAAAAAGUCUGGAAAAGUAGGAUUUGGUAUAUGAAAAUUUAAUUUACAAAAACAACUUUUCAGGAACAUAUAUGUUCUUUAAAUACAGCAAGUUUCCCUUGUGAUGUCUGGAAAUCCACCACUCUUCUUCAAAGGAAAAGCAACUUCUUAAAGAGGCUUUGAGUGCCAGGGAAGGAUUAAUUCACUCAAUCACAUGCUGACUCCCUGUGUGGGUUAAUUCUCUCCUUGCUAAGUAGCUUGAGAUGAGUGAAAUUGCUCUUCCCAGCUCCCAGAACCAGCCCAAUAUCUUUCCUGGAACCUCUGAGCAUAGCACAGUCCCCCAGCACAUUCACACUAAUGAUCCAAACUGCUACUGCAGCAUCUGCUCUUAUGACUUCUGGACUCACCAGUGAGUGGAAUUCCAACCUGGGGGAGGCAUUUCUGCAGGAGGUUGUCUUUCUUACUGCCUACAGACCAUUUCAUUACCUUCUUGGCCAUCUUACUUCUAGCUUGUCCCUUAAAAACAAGUGAAAAUGGAAUUCUCCCCCACCCCACAUUGUAAAUGGAAUACGCACAUUGUAGAAAUUUUCAAAGAUAAAAACUGUUGUGGAAAACAAAAUGUAAUUUGAGGUCAUGUGGUUUAAGUUUAAAGGAAAAGGAAUUAAAUGCAUGUGUUUGCUUAAAA